rnacentral:sRNA from 1 species
GAAGAAACUGUGCUGGAAGGGACAAUGGAGCAAGAUGAGGAGCCCCACCCAGUAUUGGAGGCUGAGGAGACUAGACAUAAUAGGUCCAUGUCGGAGCUGCCAGAAGAGGUUUUGGAGUAUAUCCUGUCCUUUCUCUCACCGUAUCAGGAACACAAAACUGCGGCCCUUGUCUGCAAACAGUGGUAUCGACUUAUCAAAGGUGUAGCCCAUCAGUGUUAUCAUGGUUUCAUGAAGGCUGUCCAGGAAGGAAACAUUCAGUGGGAGAGCCGUACCUAUCCUUAUCCUGGAACCCCAAUCACUCAGCGCUUCUCGCACAGUGCAUGCUAUUAUGAUGCUAAUCAGUCUAUGUAUGUGUUUGGAGGCUGUACCCAGAGCAGCUGCAAUGCUGCUUUCAAUGACCUCUGGAGACUUGACCUAAACAGCAAAGAGUGGAUCCGACCUUUGGCUUCAGGUAAGAGAUGAAAUGCUGAUCUUUGCCUCCUUACCAGGUGACUCCCUUGGCAUGGAAACUCUACCUGAUCUUUUUUGGCAUUGGUCUCAAGGAUAGGUUAGUGGGACUCAGGUCCUUAAGUUUAAUGUGCCAUAUAAAUGAUAAUAGUAAUAUGCUUGUGUAAGUCUUUGUUUUUUGUUAAAUUAUACUUUAUCAUUAGUAAUGGCCAAAAUUGCUAUACUGCUGUGUGAAUUCAUUUGCAUGGUUUUCUCAAGUAUACUCAUACAGGUGUGAUACAUCAUUUGGUAGGAGGUUGAAGUAAGAACAGAAACACAGAGUCGUGAGAACUGUAGUUGACUGACAGAAGCUAUUGUCCUAGGGCUAAGGUCUCUGAAUAUCUUUUGUUGUUGCCAGCUCAGAUAUUUGGGGAGUGUAUGGGACAUGCCUCUGCUAGUUACUCUUAACAACCCAGGGGUGUGGGAAGAUUCCACAGUAGGUACAUUCCUGCCCAGUCCCACUAUGCCAGAAAUCUGGCAGAAAGAAACUAGAUUAUUUUCUUAUUUUUGACCUAACCUCUCCUGGGGGAAAAAAUAAAAACAGUGGUUUUUGCACUCAUGAGGCAGGGCAAUUUGAGGAGGCAUAGAUUGGAGGGGUUGGUGUGAUGGAGAAAUAGAGUCCACUGAGUAUAAAGUAUUCUGCUAGGUUUGUUGGCAAGCUUUUCUCAAAACAUUCAUUUGGCUUUUUAGUAUUAGGACUCAGUCUUAGGACUAAGGACAUUUGGGUUUCCGUUGGGCAAGUUCCUUAUUUAUUUAGGCCUUGCCUUACUACUUUGAUUACCAGAUAGGAGGCAUCAUUGUAUAUUAGAAAGGGCACUGGACUAAGAGUGAGGGGACAUGAGUUUCAUUUCCGGGCAUAGUCACCAAUUCUCCAUGUAACUAUAAAUAAGUUACUGCACUUCUCUGAGAGAAAUGUGGAGUAGUACUAAAUGACUAUUUUUAAAUGGGCUGAAAAGGCUAGUUUAUGUUUCCCUUUCCAUAACCGCUACUGUGAAUGUCUAGGCCAGGGGCUUAAACCCAUUUAUGAGAAGAAACUGCAUUUUGCUUCCCUAAAACUUAAGUUCUUGUUCCUCUGCCUGCGUUAGGCAAAUAUAGGAGGAGCCUACUGAGUGGAUACCAUGGGUGGAGCUGGGCUUUGUGUAGAUGAAGUUCUUUAUUAAAAUUAUUGGCAUUUGGAGGGUAAGAGGGUGGAGGUCCAGUCUGCAGAUGGCCACUCCAGGAGCAGGAGCUAUUAUAUCCCCUUCUCUUCCACUUCCUGUCACAACCAAUAAAGGCUGUUUGUGCCAUUCAUAAAAAACAAAAACAAACCUACAGGCCAGGCCCACUGGCUCACGCCUGUAAUCCCAGCACUUUGGGAGGCCAAGGCGGGCGGAUCACCUGAGGUCAGGAGUUCGAGACCAGCCUGGUCAACAUGAUGAAACCCUGUCUCUCCUAAAAAUACAAAAAUUAGCUGGGCAUGGUGAUGGGUGCCUGAAAUCCCACCUACUUGGGAGGCUGAGGCAGGAACCUCAUGAACCCAGGAGGUGGAGGUUGCACUCCAUCCUGGGCAACAGAGCAAAUCUCCAUCUAAAAAAAAAAAAACCCACAAAAACUAUUGGAAUAAUAAAGAAAUGGUAAUCGUAUAAAAAGUUUGAUAGCUAGAACUAUUUCAGGGCCCUGAGAAUUUUGUACUUUGGAGAUUAACCUUUUCUAGCCCUUUAUACCAUAUUGCACUUAGUGCAAAUUGAUUAAUAUUUGGAGUUACAGCUUCUGUUUUGUUUUGUAUUGUUUUUUGAGACAGGAUCUUGCUUUGCCACCCAGGCUGGAGUGCAGUGGCACAGUCACAGCUUACUGCAGUCUCAGCUGAGUUACGGAUUCUAAAAUGUAGAAGAUCUUCUCAGCUUAAGCAUGCUAUUGCCACCGUGCUUGGGAUUUUGUACAGAUCUUAUUUCAGAGGAGCUUUGAUAGUUUCAGUCACAAAAUACUAUUACUGUCUUUAUUUUGUAACCAAUCUUUAUGCCUUUGAUAAUUUAGCAUGGGUGGUGCUCUUUCUUGUGAAAAUGGAGCUCUGGUUUGGGGACCUUCAUAGCCUCUGCCAACUACUGUGCUUAUUUCUCCCUGUAAUAUGGAGUAAGACUUUUUUUUUAAAUCAUCAAGUUUAAAGACUGCUUUGUGGCUAGGCGAAGUGGCUCACGCCUGUAACCCCAGCACGUUAGGAGGCCAAGGCAGGAGGAUCCCUUGAGGCCAGGAGUUCGAGACUCACCUGGGCAACAUGGUGAGACCCCCAUCUCUACAAAAAAUAAAAAUAAAAAAAUUAGACAGGCAUGGUGGCAUGCCUCCAUAGUCCCAGAUACUUGGGAGGGUGAGGCGGGAGGAUUGCUUGAGCCCACAGAUAUAAGCCUAGACGCCUAGGCGAGAGUGAGACUGUGUCUCAAAAAAGAAAGAAAGAAAGAGAAA